AAUAUCCCAUAGAUUUAUGAUAUCGCAUGAUAUUAUAUAUAAAGCUCCGGCGGUAAGAGAUGGGCAUGCGUGACAUUAGUUAGUUGGUGAGGUAACGGCUCACCAAGACGACGAUGUCUAGGGGGUCUGAAAGGAUGGUCCCCCACACUGGUACUGAGACACGGACCAGACUCCUACGGGAGGCAGCAGUGAGGAAUAUUGGUCAAUGGAGGCAACUCUGAACCAGCCAUGCCGCGUGAAGGAUGAAUGUCCUAUGGAUUGUAAACUUCUUUUCUUUGCCAAGAACAGUCAAUACGUGUAUUGAUUUGACUAGCUUAGGAAUAAGCAUCGGCUAACUCCGUGCCAGCAGCCGCGGUAAUACGGAGGAUGCAAGCGUUAUCCGGAUUCACUAGGUUUAAAGGGUGCGCAGGCGGAAUAAUAAGUCAGUGGUGAAAUCUUGCGGCUUAACCGUAAAAUAGCCAUUGAUACUGUUAUUCUUGAGUUCGGUUGAGGUAGGCGGAAUGAGUAAUGUAGCGGUGAAAUGCUUAGAUAUUACUCAGAACACCGAUUGCGAAGGCAGCUUACUAAGCCGUUACUGACGCUGAGUCACGAAAGCGUGGGGAGCGAACAGGAUUAGAUACCCUGGUAGUCCACGCCGUAAACGUUGAUUACUCGUUGUUGGCGAUACACAGUCAGCGACUGAGCGAAAGCAUUAAGUAAUCCACCUGGGGAGUACGUCAGCAAUGAUGAAACUCAAAGGAAUUGACGGGGGCCCGCACAAGCGGAGGAACAUGUGGUUUAAUUCGAUGAUACGCGAGGAACCUUACCUGGGCUUAAAUGUAGAGAGCGCAACCCUCAUCGUUAGUUGCCAUCAGUUCGGCUGGGGACUCUAACGAAACUGCCGGUGCAAACCGUGAGGAAGGUGAGGAUGACGUCAAAUCAGCACGGCCCUUAUGUCCAGGGCUACACACGUGUUACAAUGGUCAGUACAGUGGGCAGCUACUUGGCGACAAGAUGCUAAUCUCCAAAACUGAUCCUAGUUCGGAUCGGAGUCUGCAACUCGACUCCGUGAAGCUGGAUUCGCUAGUAAUCGCACAUCAGCCAUGGUGCGGUGAAUACGUUCCCGGGCCUUGUACACACCGCCCGUCAAGCCAUGGAAGCUGGGGGUGCCUGAAGUCCGUGACCUUCACAGGAGCGGCCUAGGGUAAAACUAGUAACUGGGGCUAAGUCGUAACAAGGUAGCCGUACCGGAAGGUGUGGCUG
rnacentral:rRNA from 1 species